UACGUAGGAGGCAAGCGUUGUCCGGAAUUACUGGGUGUAAAGCGCGUGUAGGCGGCAGGCCAAGUCUGUGGUGAAAUCGCUCGGCUCAACUGGGCGGGGUCCAUGGAAACUGGUCAGCUGGAGGACGGUAGAGGUGAGUGGAAUUCCCGGUGUAGUGGUGAAAUGCGUAGAGAUCGGGAGGAACACCGGUGGCGAAGGCGGCGACCUGGGUCGAGACUGACGCUGAGGCGCGAAAGCGUGGGGAGCAAACAGG
rnacentral:rRNA from 1 species